GGGCUUAUGUUGAAACUGGUAUCAUGAUUCCCUUGCAAGGUAUCGUUCCGUGUUCGAGUCACGGUAGGUCCA
rnacentral:tRNA from 1 species